rnacentral:rRNA from 1 species
GACAGAGGGUGCAAACGUUGCUCGGAAUCACUGGGCGUAAAGGGCGUGUAGGCGGGACGGUAAGUCGGGCGUGAAAUCCCUAGGCUCAACCUAGGAACUGCACUCGAAACUACCAUUCUUGAGUGUCGGAGAGGAAAGCGGAAUUCCUGGUGUAGAGGUGAAAUUCGUAGAUAUCAGGAGGAACACCAGUGGCGAAGGCGGCUUUCUGGACGGUAACUGACGCUGAGACGCGAAAGCGUGGGGAGCAAACAGG